GCCCGGCUAGCGUAAUGGUUAACGCGUUUGACUUCUAAUCAAAAGAUUGCGGGUUCGACUCCCGCGUCGGGUU